CAGCCGCCGCGGGAAUACAGAGGGUGCGAGCGUUAAUCGGAUUUACUGGGCGUAAAGCGUGCGUAGGCGGAUUCUUAAGUCGGAUGUGAAAUCCCUGAGCUUAACUUAGGAAUUGCAUUCGAUACUGGGAAGCUAGAGUAUGGGAGAGGAUGGUAGAAUUCCAGGUGUAGCGGUGAAAUGCGUAGAGAUCUGGAGGAAUACCGAUGGCGAAGGCAGCCAUCUGGCAUAAUACUGACGCUGAGGUACGAAAGCAUGGGGAGCAAACAGGAUUAGAUACCCCCGUAGUCCCUGUCUCUUAUAC
rnacentral:rRNA from 1 species